rnacentral:tRNA from 6 species
GGGGCUGUGGCGCAGCUGGUAGCGCACCUCGUUCGCAACGAGGGGGUCAGGGGUUCGAGUCCCCUCAGCUCCACCA